AGAUUGAACGCUGGCGGCAUGCCUAACACAUGCAAGUCGAACGGGAGUAGCAAUACUCUAGUGGCGGACGGGUGAGGAAUACGUAGGAAUUUGCCCUUAAGUGGGGGAUAACCCGGGGAAACCCGGAUUAAUACCGCAUGACCUCGAAAGAGCAAAGUGGGGGAUCGCAAGACCUCACGCUUUUGGAGAAGCCUACGUCGGAUUAGCUAGUUGGUGAGGUAAUGGCUCACCAAGGCGACGAUCCGUAACUGGUCUGAGAGGAUGAUCAGUCACACCGGAACUGAGACACGGUCCGGACUCCUACGGGAGGCAGCAGUGGGAAUAUGGACAAGUGGGCGCAAGCCUGAUCCGAGCAAUGCCGCGUGUGUGAAGAGGCCUUGGGUUAGUAAAGCAACUUUAAGUAGGAAAGAAAACUCGACUACAAC
rnacentral:rRNA from 1 species